GCUUUUAUAGCCCUUUUUUACAACUUGUUUUUUGCUUGUUUGCAGGUGCGUGAUCGAGCACAUUUCUGACGUGGCAUAGUGGUGUCGCGCACGUCGUGGGGUGGUGGCGUCCGGUGCUCGAUGCAUUUGCUGAAACGACGCAAAAGGGGUUUGGGGACUAGGGUUUCAAAUUUGCCAAAACUGUUUUAGGAUUGUAGGCCAAGUAGGCUGUAGGUUUUAGUUUGAGUCUGGGUCUGUUUUUGUUGGGUUUUGGGCUGCUUGGGUAGUAUUUUUUAUUUUUUUCUUGUGUUUGGUUUUGGUUUUUUAAUAGUUUGGGCCGGGCAAUUUUGGGCCAUGACAGCUGCCCCUCUUUGCUUGUUGUCGUGUAACGAGAAUAGAGCAAAGACUUCAAAUGGGUCAAUUUUGCUCGGUCUCGCCAAGGUUUGACUUCGUGAUGCUCCCUUUCUUCAAGUAACCUCACUUUUAACCCACUGCAUCUUCAGAGGUAUAGGAACUCGUUUCAAUCUGCUCUGCUACUACUUAGGGAGAUACGAUUUGUAAUCUUCAGCCUGUUACCCUAUUGCUUCGGGGGUUAAAGUUCACUAUCUUUGAUCUACUCCCCCACUGCUUAGGGAGAUAAGAUCCGUAAUUUUUAACCUGUUACCCUACUGCUUAGGGGGUUAAAGCUCUCUGUCUUCGAUCUACUCCACUACUGUUUAGGGAUAAGAUCUGUAUUUUUUAGCCUGUUACCCUACUGCUUAGGGGGUUAAGGCUUGCUGUCUUCGAUCUGCUCUACUACUGUUUAGGGAUAAGAUCUGUAUUUUCCAGCCUAUUACCCUAUUGCUUAGGGAGUUAAGGCUCAUCGUCUUCAACCUACCCCACUACUGUAUAGGGAGAUAGUGUCUGUAUUUUCCAGCCUGUUUCCCUACUGCUUAGGGGGUUAAGGCUUGCUGUCUUCGAUUUGCUCCAUUACUGUUUAGAGGAGAUCUGUAUUUUCUAGCCUGUUACCUUACUGCUUAGGGGGUUAAGGCUUGCUGUCUUCGAUCUGCUCCACUACUGUUUACGGGAGAUCUGUAUUUUCCAGCCUAUUACCCUACUACUUAGGGGGUUAAAGCUUGCUGUCUUCGUUCUGCUCCACUAUUGUUUAGGGGAGAUUUGUAUUUUUCAGCCUGUUACCCUACUGCUUAGGGGUUAAGGCUUGCUGUCUUCGAUCUGCUCCACUACUAUUUAGGGAAUAUCUGUAUUUUUUUAGCAUGUUUCCCUACUGCUUAGGGGGUUAAGGCUUGCUACCUUCAAUCUGCUCCACUACUGUUUAGGGAAGAUCUGUAUUUUCCAGCCUGUUACAUUACUGCUUAAGGGGUUAAUGCUUACUGUCUUUGAUCUACUCCGCUACUGUUUAGGGAUAAGAUCUGUAUUUUCCAACUUGUUACCCUACUUCUUAGGGGGUUAAGGCUCGUGAAUUCAUCGAUGCCACUGCACUGUCCUCUGAGGAACAUGAUCUAUAAAAUCGAUUUCCUGUAUCUAUGCUUAUGCCAAAUAAUUAGGAUGCUAUUAUCGAAAUGAAUCAAAUGCUUCUAACUAGAUAUAAUGCUUAUGUCAAAUAAUUAGGAUGCUAUGAUCGAAAUGGAUCAAAUGCUCCUAACUAGAUGUAUCAUGAAUGACAUUUGUAUGAAUGCAGAUUGUCAUUAGAAUGCCCUUUUUAAUGUUUAGGCUGUUAUUUCUUGUUGUUUGUCAUUGACGUAUUUCUUCUCGUUCAACUGAUAUCUUUAACAGACAUCUAAAGCAAUAGUCUUUUUACUUCUCAAGUAACUCUAACCCUUAAGCUUGGUGGGUUCUGAACCAUUGACCUAUUUCAGGUUCUUGCACUAUUUAGAAGCUUAUAGAGUAAUAUGCAGAACUCUUUUUAUGAAAGUGUUAUUAGUCCAUUAAUCAAUAUUUCAAUAGGAAAUGCUUGAAAAAGAUUAUCAAAAUGGACAAGAUGAAGCUUUAUUGAGAGCGAAGCUCGAGGUAGAAAAUUAAUGAAGAUAACAGAUUUUGCUAAGGUACAAAAGAUGUAUAAGAUGGAAAAUAGGUGCCCCAGAUAUCGUAGCGUGAGCUUCUCUAUUCGGACUGUUCGAAAACCAUUGGGAGCUAGAUAUAUGUUUAGGAGGUCCAAGGUAUUUCGUUGAUGCCCCAAGAUGUAAUGUUUCUCCUUCUUGUUAAUUCUAGUAGAACUAGGCCGCAACAUGCCCCAUCUUUGAUCACAAUUUGAGCUGCCCUUUUUUGAGUUUUCAACUCAACACCCCUUUAGUCUCAAAGCGCCCUUUACGGGUUUUCGCUUGGCCUCUUCUUUUUCAGGUGAAUUACUUCUUGACCGAAUCUGAAUUUACCGGGUUAAGAAGGCUUUUACCAUCUAUUUCUGCUAAUAUCAGUGCCCUUAAAAAAAAAACCUUCUUCACUACAUAAGGUCCUUCCCAGUUCGGCAUCUAUUUCCCUCUGAAAUUUUUUUACAUAGGGAGAAUCUUUUUCAAUACCAAGUCCCCUUUCUGGAAUACUCUUGGGCGAACUUUUUUGUUGUAAGCUUGUAUCAUUCGCUUCUAGUACAUUUGACCAUGACGGAUAGCCUUCAGUUUCUUUUCUUCAAUCAAAUUCAGCUGAUCGUACCGGGAUUUGACCCAUUCUGCUUCGUCCAGCUUUAAUUCUGAUAAAACUCGGAGAGAAGGAAUCUCGACUUCAAUAGGCCUAACUGCCUCCAUCCCAUAAACCAGCGAGAAAUGUGUUGCCCCGGUAGAAGUUCUGACCGAUGUUCGAUAGGCAUAGAGAGUAAAUGGUAACUUUUUAUGCUAAUCCUUGUAGGUCUUAGCUAUUUUCCCCACGAUCCUCUUUAUAUUUUUUAUUAGCCGCCUCAACUGCCUCAUUCAUUUUCGGGCGAUAUGGUCACAAGUUGUGGUGCUUAAUUUUGAAUUGACUGCAGACCAGCACUAUCAAGCUGUUAUUUAAAUUUAACGCGUUGUCAAAUAUGAUUCUCUCUGACAUGCUAUAUCGACAUAUGAUUUUCUUUUUCAAGAACUUGCUGACCGCCGACUUUAUGACAUUAGCGUAUGAAGCAGCCUCCUCCCACUUGGUGAAAUAAUUGAUGACCACAAAGAUUAAACGAUGUCCGUUAGAAGCCUUUAACGAAAUCGGCCCAAUGACGUCUAUGCCCCAUAUUGAGAAAGGCCAUAGGGAAGUCAUAACAUGAAGAGGUGAAGGAGGCACAUGGAUCUUGUCGCCAUAAAUUUAGCACUUAUGCAUUUAUUGGCAUAGUUGAUGCAAUCUCCUUCCAUUGUAGACCAGUAAUAUCUGAAUCUUAUGAUUUGUCUGGCCAUCGUGAACCUAUUGGCAUUCGUCCCGUAGACACAUUCAUGGACUUCUUCCAGGAUUUUCUUUGCUUCAAUAGCGUUAACACAUCUUAGCAACACUUGGUCUUUCCUUCUUUUAUACAGGAUUUCCCCCAUCUAAGACAUAGUCACCGGCCAGCCUCUUCAACAUUCUUUUUUCAUUUUCAGUUGCCUGAUCAGGAUAUACAUGAUUUUUCACAUAUCGUAGAAUAUCCUGAUACCAAGGAUGAUCAUUCCUCUCUUCCUCUUCGUCGAUACUGCAGCAAUGAGCUGGAGCAUCACAAAUACUCAUCUGGAUCGGCUUCAUAUCCUCUUGUUUAUUUGGUCUGAUCAUGGAAGCUAAUGUAGGCAGGGCAUCAGCCAUCUGAUUUUCAACACGCGGGAGGUAAUGGAAAGUGAUAUCAUCAAACACCUUAAUUAAAUCCAGAACCAGCUCUCGGUAAUUGAUAACUUUGAGUCUCUUGUUUCUCAUUCACUUUUGAGCUGAUAGAUCACCAGUGCAGAAUCUUCAUACACUUCUAACACCUUGAUUUUGCACUCUACAGUCGCACGGAUACCCAUAAUACAUGCUUCAUACUCUGCCAUAUUAUUUGUGCAAUCAAAUUCCAAUUUGCAAGUGAAUGAAUAAUGAUCUCCAUUUGGGAACAUUAGAGUUGCCCCAAUUCCAUUACCAACUGCGUUUGAUGCUUCGUCGAAAUUCAGUUUCCAAGGAUGAUCAUCUGGAGUGUCUUUUUAGGUGGUUGCCACAUACAUUAGAUCUUCAUUGGGAAAAUCAAAGCUCAAAGGCUCGUAAUCUUCUAAAGCUCUAGUGGCUAGAAAAUCUGCUAUUGCACUCUCUUUUACUGCCUUCUGGUUCACAUAAAUUAUGUCGAAUUCAAAAAGUAGAAUUUUCCAUCGGACCAUCCUUCCAUUCAGAGCGGUUGACUCCAUCAUGUACUUAAGGGGAUCUAAUUUCGAGAUUAACCAAGUCGUAUGGUACAACAUGUACUACCUUAAUCUCCAAGUUGUCAGACCAAAGCACAAUAUAGCUUCUCAAUUGGCAAAUAUCUCAUCUCACACUCAGUGAAUUUCUUACUGAGGUAGUAUAUUGUCUUUUCUUUCUUUCCUGUCUCAUCGUGUUGCCCAAGCACACAUCCCAUUGAGUGGUCAAAUACUGAAAAAUACAAUAUUAAUAGUCUAUACGGGCUGGAUGGCGUUAACACUGGGGGAUUGGACAAAUACUGUUUAACUCUGUCAAAAGUCUUUUGACACUCUUCAUCCCACACACCUGGGUUGUGUUUCUUGAGGAGACGAAAUAUAGGGUCGCAUUUCUCAGUUAGUUGCGAAAUAAACCGAGCGAUGUAAUUUAGUUUUCCCAGAAAAGCUCGAACUUCCUUCUGAGUGCAUGGCGGGGGCAAUUGCUGUAUAGCCUUGACUUUGUCAGGCUCGACCUUGAUUCUUUUUUUACUGAUGACAAAACCGAGCAGCUUUCCUAAUUUAGCUCCGAAAGUACAUUUUGUUGGAUUAAGCUUUAGCUGAAACUUUCUCAGCCUCAAGAAUAAUUUUCUCAACACUUGUAUGUGCUCUUUUUCUGUUCGGGAUUUUACAAUCAUAUCGUCAAGGUAAACCUCAAUCUCCUUGUACAUCAUGUCGUGAAACAAGGUUAUCAUAGCUCUUUGAUACGUUGCUCCCGCAUUUUUUAACCCGAAUGACAUCACCUUAUAGCAAAAUGUUCCCCACAAGGUUAUGAAUGUUAUCUUUUCCAUGUCUGCAGGGUGUAUCUUUAUAUGAUUGUAUCCAGAGAAACCAUCCAUUAAAGAGAACAAUAAGUAACCCGCCAUGUUAUCCACAGCGUGUUGAUAUGGGGCAACGGGAAGUUAUCCUUUGGGCUAGCCUUGUUUAGUUCUCUGUAAUCCACACACAUCCGAACUUUUCCAUCUUUCUUAGGGACGAAGAUGACAUUGGCUACCCAUUCCGAGUAAAUCACCACUUGUAAGAACCCAGCGUCAAAUUAUUUUCUGGCCUCUUCCCUUAUUUUUACUGCAAUAUCGGGUCUCAUCCUUCGAAGGCUUUUGUUCAACAGGCUUGCACUUUUCUUUUAUAGGGACUCGAUGUACCGCAAUAUCAACGCUUAACCUAGGCAUGUCUUGAUACGACCACGCGAAGGCAUCUUUAAAAUCUUGUAGUAUUUUAAAGAGGUCUCUCCUUAUUUCCUCAGUUAUGCAAGUUUCGAUUUUCACUUCUUUCCCUUCUUCCAAAGUCACAUUCUUGGUUGUCUCUUUAUGGGGUAGAAUUUGUUUCUCCUCCCGUUCUACCAUCCUUAACAAAUCUAGAGAUAACCCAUAAUCUCUAUCAUCUUCAAAAUCUUGAGAUCUCUCUAGACACAUAUCUCGCUCAAAAGGAGAUCCUGGGUCCGUAACAGCGACGCUCGUGUCUUUGAUACCCGGAGACCUAUUAAAACAUGAAAGAAAUAUCUAAAAAGUGAAUCUAAGAGUGGCUUAUUUCAAACGGCAUGAUUAUGAAUGUAAUGAGAAUAUGAAAGAAUAUUUUCCCAGAAUGAGACUCAAAAAUGAAUUUCUUAUUAAAAAUAAAGAUGUUUGAAUACGAGCCUAUUUCACAAAAGAUUCUUACUGUUUCUAGGCUUAAAACAAUAAGUGUGUUCAGAACAUUACUCUGUAUUAGCUCAAAGAACUACAGGAAUUUCUUCCACAGUCCAAUUGUUUAGAACAUUGCGAGGCUCAUAAGGGCAAAUGCCUAAUAAGUCUCCUUCCAUCACUCCCUCCUCAGAUAGGGUGUUGAUACUCAAAUUGCCCAUCAAAUCUUCAGCUGUCCCUUCUCUUGUCAUUUCCGAUUCAAGAUGAAUAAUUCCUCCUAACACGAAUGUACUGGAUAUGUGGGAAAAGGUCAUCGACUCCUACUUGACCUCUACCCCACUUAAUCGUGCCCUCCGUCUAUCUUGUUUCCUCUCCAACUCUUCCUUCCUUUGUAUGGCAUCUGGCCUAUACCCCAAACUAAAUUGAUCCUGCUUACCAGCUAAACCCGGUACUUCGACUCGUCCGUGGAGGUAUUUUUCGAGUCCUUUUUCAAGCAAUGCUCUUUUUUUCUACCAUCAGUCAUAAGCUCAUCCUCAUAGCUUCGGAUAUUUCCAGUAUUAGGAUCUUACCUCCUUCGAUAAUGAAAGUCGCAUUGACAAAUUUCAAUGACUGAAAGGAACAUUCAAUUGCUUCAUCAUCAUUCUCGAUGUACGACGCAUCACUAGUAAUAGAUGCGAUAAUGUCCUCCUCUGCAUUUAUGGUUAUUAGUCGACCCUCCGUUACCAACUUCAGCUUCUGGUGCAAUGAUGAUGGUACUGCUUCAGCUGAGUGAGUCCAAGACCUCCCUAGUAAACAAUUAUAAGAGGUCCUGAUGUCUAUCACGAGAAACUCUACCUCGUACGUGUUGGGUCCGAUCAGAAGGGGGAUCUCAAUCCUACCAAUCACUUUCCUUUCGGUGUCAUCGAACGCUCUCACUAUUUUCUGACAUGUCUUCAUAUGAGAGCUAUCUAUAGGUAACCUAUUCAAUCUGGACAGGGACAAGACAUUUAGUGCUGACCCAUUAUCAGUUAAUACUCCCGGUAGUGUAUACCCUUUGCACUAGGUAGUGAUGUGCAAAGCCUUAGUGGACCCCAUGCCACCAACCGUAUCUCAUCAUCGCUGAAAGAAAUGAAGUUAUUGACACUUAUAUUGCUGGCAAGACGGUCUAGCUUGUUCACUAAUAUGUCUUUAGCGACAUAGGUUUCAUUCAACACAUUCAUCAAUGCAUUACGGUGUACCUCUAAAUUUUGGAGCAAAGCUAGUACCGAUGUACGUGCUGGCCACUUGUGCAACUGUUUCAUAACACUAUACUCACUGUGUUUUAGGAACUUCAAAAAUUUUUUAGCUUCAUGCUCAGUUACCGGUUCAUUAACCAGUGGUUUUGUCCUCUCUUCCCCCUGUUCAGACAUCAAAGAUUUUUCUUUUACAAGUUUGACUUUCGUAUCUAGCAUGCUGAUCGGCCUCCCCUCUCCUGAUGACGUCACAUUACAAUUAUAAUUCCAAGGCACCCUUUUGCUAUCAUUGUAAGAAAAAGCCACAAGUUUCUGAAUCAUAACUCUUGGUGCCAUUCUUGCUCCAGCUUCAUUGAUUCUCGAUUGUGAAAUGAUCACCACUGGGUGAUUGAUCUCACAGACCCUCUCUAUCAACCCCUCUUCUGAGAUCAGCCCAUCCUCAGAUAGGGUGUUGAUGCUCAAAUUGCCCAUCAAAUCUUCGGCUAUCCCUUCUCUUGUCUUUUCUGAUUCAAGAUGAAUAAUUCCUCCUGACACGAAUGUACUGGAUUUGUGGAGAAAGGUCAUCGACUCCUACUUGACCUCUAUCCCACUCAAUUGUGCCCUCCGUUUAUCCUGUUUCCUAUCCAACUCUUCAUUUCUUUGUAUGGCGUCUGGCCUAUACCCCAAACUAAAACGAUCUCGCUUGCCAGCUAAACCCGAUACUUCGACCCGUCUAUAGAGGUAUCUUCCGAAUCCCCUUCCAGGCAAUGCUCUUUUUUUCUACCAUCAGUCGUAAGCUUAUCCUCGUAGCUUUGAAAAUUUUCGGUAUUGGAAUCUUGCCUCAUUCAAUAAUGAAAGUCGUAUUGACAAAUUCCAAUGACUGAAAAAAACAAUAAAUUGCUUCAUCAUCGUUCUCGAUGUACAACGCAUCACUAGUAACAGAUGCGAUAAUGUCCUCCUCUGCAUUUAUGGUUAUUAGUUGACCCUUCGUUACCAACUUCAGCUUCUGGUGCAAUGAUGAUAGUACUGCUUCCGCUGAGUGAAUCCAAGGCCUCCCUAGUAAACAAUUAUAAAAGGGCCUGAUGUCCAUCACGAGAAAGUCUACCUCGUACGUGUUGGGUCCGAUCAGAAAGGGGAUCUUAAUCCUACCCAUCACUUUCCUCUCGGUGCCAUCGAACGCUCUCACUAUGUUCCGACAUGUUUUCAUAUAAGAGCUAUCUAUGGGUAACCUAUUUAAUCUGGACAGGGGCAAGACAUUCAGUGCUGACCCAUUAUCAAUUAAUACCCCCGGUAGUGUAUACCCUUUGCACCGAGUAGUGAUGUACAAAGCCUUGGUGGACCCUAUGCCACCUGACAGUAUCUCAUCAUCGCUGAAAGAAAUAAAGUUAUCGGCACUUAUAUUGCUGGCAAGACGGUCUAACUUGUUCACCGAUAUGUCUUCAACGACAUAGGUUUCAUUCAACACCUUCAUCAAUAAAUUACGGUGUACCUCCGAAUUUUGGAGCAAAGCUAGUACCGAUGUGCGUGCUGGCUGCUUGUGCAACUGUUCUACAACACUAUACUCACUGUGUUUUAGGAACUUCAAAAAUUCUUUAGCUUCAUCCUCAGUUACCAGUUAAUUAACCAAUGGUUUUGUCCUCUCUUCCCCCUAUUCAAACAUCAAAGAUUUCUCUUUUACAGGUUCAAAUUUAGUAUCUAGUGUGCUGAUCGGCCUCCUCUCUCCUGAUGACAUCACAUUAUAAUUAUAAUUCCAAUGCACCCUUUUGCUAUCAUUGUAAGGAAAAGCCACAGGUUUCUGAAUCACAACUCUUGAUGCCAUUCUUACUCCAGCUUCAUUGAUUCUCGGUCGUGAAAUGAUCACAAUUGGGAGAUUAAUCUCACAGACCCUCUCUAUCAGCCCCUCCUCCGAGGUGCAUAUAUCUUCCUCCUCAGCAAACUCAAAGAACUCCAACUCUUUAUUGUCCAUUAAACCCUGUACUAGGGUUCUGAAUUCAUCGCAUGUUUCAAUCUCAUGGUCCUCCUUUCUGUGGAACUCACAAUAGUUCCCUGUUUCUCGGGAUCUGCUUCUAAAGUCUCGAAUGAUUAAACCUCUCUCCAUCAUUUUCUUUAAAACCUCUAUCAUUGGGGUUUUCACUUUUGCCACAUUCAACUUAAUUCUUUUCCCCUCAUUAUCAGUUAUUGCGUCUACCCUAUUGUUAGUAUAAUUGAGUAAAAGAUUUUCUACUCCAGGUGCAUCGUCAAACUUCAUAACGCCCAUGUCGAUGAGCCUUUCGAAUAGUUUUUUGAAAGAGAGGUAAUUCUCUAUCGAGUGUCCCACUGUUCUCGCAUGGUAUUCACAUUGAGUACUUGCAUCGCACCAUUUGGGAUAUUAGAGUUGCAACGGUUUUAAGAAGAUACGGGAUACGACGUGCGCAUCAAAUAGACCUUUGUACAGCUCCCGGUAUGUUAUUGGAAUAGGAGUAAACCAGAGCUUCUCCAUGCUUUGUUUUGUAUCGGGCUCCUGUCUUGGUGAAGCUUGCUAGCCCGUGGUCACUGUUUUCGGUUGAUUUACUGUGAUCGAUUUUGCAUAACCCACACUCACAUUGCCAACUUUGCUUUCUUUCUUCUUCGGGGCUGACAUCCUGGUACACUCACAUUGCCAACUUUGCUUUCUUUCUUCUUCGGGGCUGACGUCCUGGUGCUUUCCCCAGCCUCUAUCUUCCCACACUUUAUCGUAUUCUCUAUCAUUUCACCAGGCAUCACUAUGUUCGUGAAACUCUUAGUUGCGCUGCCCAACAUGUGAUUAAUGAAGGGUGCUUUCAAGGUAUUAAUGAAGAGGAUAGUCGUUUCUAUUUCCAACAGUGGCGGUUGACCUUGUGUAGCAACUUCCCUCCACCUAUGAGUAUAUUGCCUGAAACUUUCACUCGACUUUUUCUCCAUAUUCUACAACGUGAUCCUAUCAGGCGCUAUCUCCGUCACAUAGCCAUACUGCUUCAUGAAGGCCUGUGCUAAGUCCCUUUAUGAUUUGACUUGGGUGCGAUACAACUGAUUGUACCAUUUGGCCAUAGCCCCAGUCAAACUGUCCUGGAAACAAUGAAUUAACAGUUGAUCAUUAUUGACAUGACCAGUAUUCUCCGACAAAACAUCGUGAUGUGGGCCUCAGGGCAGCUAGUACCUUUGUACUUUUCAAACUCCAGCAUUUUGAACUUUGGAGGAAAUACUAGGUCUAGAACCAAACUUAACCCCUUAACGUCCAUUCCACACUGAUAAUCAGUAUUUUUCAGCACCUUGAACUUCUCCACUAGCCAUUUGUAUCGGUCUUGCAGCUACUUUCAGAGUCCUCCUUUUUUCUUUUCUACCUCUGCCAUUUCAUCAAAUGUGAGGAUAGUAGGAUUUACCCGGUCAUCCUUUGGUUUAGAACACAAGGCUAUCGAAAAAUUCAUCGGUGCCGAAAUACUAGCUUGAUAAUGUGGUUUGAUACUGAUGGACACCCUUUGCGGUGGUACUGGAGUAUCUUUUGGGGUGAACCCUGACGGGUAAGCAAAGAUCUCACUAUCGUCCUCAGCAUUGAUUAUGGGACUCUUCUCUUUUUCUGACUUCCCGACUAAUAACUGGGUCAAUUGGCUCAUCAUAUUCUUUUGUGAUUCCAGCAUUUGAUCCUUCAUAUCUUGCUGAAUCUUGGCCAGUUGUUCUCGCAUCUACGCUUGCAUUUGUUCCUACAUCUCUUUCUAUAUUUGUUCCAAUUUCUCCAGCCUUUGAUCCAUAGUUUUGGUUUUUUUCCGUGUGUAGUAUUGAUGUUCCAGGGUAACUAUAACAUAAUUUUAAAUUAAUUAAGGUUUUUUUUUAAAUUUAAUACACAUGAUGCGAUGAAAUGCAAAUACAUGAGAUGAAUGCAAAACUAAAAGGACGUCGAUUCUGAUCCAAUUCCAUUUAGAAACUUUCUUAGAAAACAAAAUCCUUUACAUAAAACAAGUUAUAUAUACGACUUUGCUUUAAUACCUAAAGUUUUAACUUUCUUAAUAAGGCAAGCCAGCUCGCGACCCCGGUCUGACUCUAACUCAUACUUUACACUUAGCACAUUAGUCUGAAUCGCUAAGGUCUGUAAAUGAUCGGCCACUUCUCGAAUCUGAGCCACGGCUUCUCCCAUGAUAUGAUCUCUAUCCCUGACUUGGUCCUGCGAUCGGCGGAGCUGUUCAUUCUACUGCUCAUUAUUCGACUCAAGGAAUUCAAUUCGAAGUUCACAGUUCUGUAAUGUAGACUUGAGCUCUUCUACUUUCCCUUUCAAAUCCUCGACCCUGUUCAGUCUGGCUAUUAAUUCAAUGUAGGAGUUACAACCACGGUGCUGAUGCAGUGUCUUUUCUAGCUCCGCUACCCGAGCUACGAACGUUUCCUUCUCAUCUUGGCCCUCAGCCAAGCUAUUCUUUAAGGUGUUUUCACGUGCUCGAGCAUCAUGGAAUCUCUUCUCCCACUAAUCAGCUCUAGCUUUUUCUUCUUGCAUUUCUUGUCGCCACUGCUCUAACGUCUUUCCUAAUCCAGUAGUUCUCAUCGACAUCCGCAACUUCUUGUAAUCGGUCUUCAAACUGUCUAAUUCUUCUUCGGCCUUCCUCUUUCCCUUUCUUAAAUUCUCGGCCUUGAGUUUCUGGACAUCGGCGUCUAACCUCGGAUGUAACUUUUCCUCCUCAAAUUACUCUAUUUUCUUCCCUAACUCCGAAUUUUUUUUCAAAGUCUUGUUUGAUGAUUUUAGCUCGGAGGGGAUUACUUGCAAGUAUUUUUCCAUUGAUUGAACACCCUUUAAAUUCGGCCUAGGGACAUUAUCGUUGAUCCUUUUACUCAACCACUCAUUGUAUUCAAAAGUCAUCAUUGGUCCUACAGCUAAUCUCUUCAUCCGGCGUAUCUAUUUCCAAGCAUCAGAAAUCUCUCGAACCCUCUUCUUAUAAUUGUUCUCCCUAUACGAGAACUCACUCUAGGCUAGUCCAUAUGUCAUCGGUAUAAACUGCCUUGACCUGUAUUAUCUUAAAACGAGCAAAGGGACAUAUCCAACGGCUCCCCAAAUUCCAGGUAAAAGUACCCAAUCAAAACUCCCACACCGAUAGAGAAUCUCAUCGGGAACCAACGAAUGAGCUCUCCACUCGACGUCUUCUUCCUGGAGAUUUCGAAUGAGCGCGAUCCAAUUCUCAUCUGAUAUAUCAUCUCUCCUGGACGUGGCUGUUAUCUCUUUUAACGGGGAGUAAUUCUCAGAGAAAACCCGAUAAGAAACUUUAUCCACCUUCUAGAAAUGGAUGUAGAACCAAGCUAACAAUAAUUGCGCGCACCCUAUAAAUCUGCCUUCUCCUGCCUUCCGACAUGCACUCAAGGAUCUGAAUGUCUCUGCUAGAAUUAGCGGCACUGGUGUGGCUCUUUUGUCAAGUCGAUCAAAUAAAUCGGCAACUGCUUCAUCUCUAUGCCUUAAAGCUUUGGGGAAAAUUACCAAACCAUAGAUACUCAAGGCGAAGAUGUCAACCUUCUUCUUCAUAUCUAGAUGUGCUACGAUCAGAUCCCUCAAACUCACCCAAUGAAUACAUUUACCGUCACCCUUUUGCUGAAUUAGGGCUAUAAUCCACUGUUCACUCAUCCCAGUGAUACUCAUUAAUUUCUUUACAAAAUGUUAGGCAUUAGCAGCCUUAGAAUAAGCUCUAUCGACUUAAACCUUUGGACAAUGAAGCGAAGCUGUAUACUCCUCCACAGUAGGCAUCAAGUCUACCUUCCCGAAAGUGAAACAACUAUACGCAAGAUUCCAAAACUGAGUUAUGGCCCGAAACAAGUUUUUGUCUACCUUAAUGUCGAACAGGUAGGGUAGGUCGCCGAAAUUUUGAUAAAACAGUACUGGCCCAUAUAUCCCUUAAUUCCUAGAGCUCAUUCCGUGUCACGCUGAUAUGGGUGAAGUCCCACAAUUCUGAUAUAUAUCACUCAGCCAGGCUAUCCCCUUUCUCAAGUUGCAUUUUUUCUAACCAUAUACGGGUAGCCGCAUUAUCUUCUACUUUAUCAAGGAAUUCAUUCUCCAUAGCAAGCUCUCCAACUUAGUAACUGAAUAAGAAUCGACACCUCCCUAAAUAUGAAAUGAUAUGCAAUUAUGGCCACAUCAAAACACAACGAGUUAGUACCGAAUAAUAAAAUGCAAAGCAAAUAGAAAAUAGUCAAACACUUAUCUAGGUAACCACUAAGGUUCAACAUAGCUCUAUCUAGAGUGAACUCUUAGGGUUCACUAUAUGUGGCACGGUUCUAAAGAAAAGGGUACCUGAACCAGCAGGUUCCUCAAUCCUCACCCAUUAUAGGCUCAUACGGAUUGAGUUCAGUUCAGGGGGACACAUUUCCCUAUGCCCAUGCGGAGGUGAAAACCUCACGAAGACAUAUGUACGAAUGUAUCUCGGAAGCAGUCCACUUGCCCAUGUGGAGGUGAAAACCUCACGAAGGUAUAGUUUCUCACUCCCACUUAAAAGGUGCGACCACGACGGUCAUGCAAGAUGAUGCAAGAAUAUCUUUAAAUCACAACAAACACAUGACAUAACAUCAACAAAUGAGACAAAAGAAGCAUGAUUUUUCAAAUCAAAUUUUCAAUUUUUCGACAAAAGGACAGAAAAUAAUCAAUUUUACGGCUUGACUCUCUUAUUAGUCCCCAGUGGAGUCGUCAAGCUGUUGAAACCAUUUUUUUUUAAAAAAAACGGGGAUCGACUUUAAAAUGAGGUAUGGAGUCGCUACCAAUCCUUUUUGUUUAGGUGUGAUCGAGUCACCCUAUGAUCGAUCAUUUUAAUAAAGCAUUUUGAUUGAUUAAAACAACAUUUUUUUUUGUUUACGAAAAACUAGAAAACGGGUUCAGGAUUCGAUUACGCGCGAGGAAAGAUUAGCACCCUCGCAACGCCCUAAAUUGAUACUGUAUUGAUCAAUUGAUGUCCUAAUGUUGAAAAUUUGGAAAAAUAUUUUAAAACGCAAUUCCUUUAAAACGUUUAGAUAUCUUGAACUGGAUAUUGAGAUUCUCUCGCUCAGAAGGAAUAAAAUAUCAUAUCCAUCACGAUAGGACACAACAUUUCGAACUCUCGAUACAAGAUCAUCUCAUGAUUUCCAAAACUCAUGCAUUUGAAAUUUGAAAAGGAUAUUUGGCUAUUUGGCCAAACGGCGAUUUGUCGAAUUUCCAGAUACGAAAUAUUGCCUCAUUUUAAUUUAAGAAAGCAUAGAUGAAAUUUCAAAAGGAUAUUCUGUAUUUUAGUCGAAUGAAAAAAAAUCGAAACCCAACACGAUUGGGCACGAUCUCUCAAACUCCCAAACACAAAAUAUUGCCUCGUUUUAAUUUAAGAAAACAUGGACAAAAUUUCACAAGGAUAUUCCAUAUUUCAGUUGAAUGAAAAAAAAAUCGAAACCCAGCACGAUUGGGCACGAUCUCUCAGACUUCCGAACACGAAAUAUUUCCUUACGUUGAGAGAGUUUUUUAAAACACGAGUGGUUAUAAAAUGAAUGAAAAUAAAAAUAAAAUAUAGAAAAUAAUAAUUGAUGAGAAUGCUUAAAAAUAUGGUAAAAUAGGGCCUUUAAAAGAAAUAGAUGGUAUAUAAAUAAAUUCUUAAAGAAAAUACAACUAUGAAACAACAUGAGAUUUAUAAUCUACGUAGAUAAAGCUAAUAUAAAAUUUGUGUAUGUAAUAAUAUAUAAAGGUGACCUAAUUGAAUAUCAUACAUAAUUUUAAGACUACAUGAUAUGAAAGAUUUUUUAAAACAAUAAGAAUAACAAAAAAAUAAUAGUAAUAUUAAAGAACCACUAUAGCAUAUAAAAAAUAAUAGUAAAAAAAAUAGUAAAAAUAAUAAUAAUAGAAAUAGUAAUAAUAAUGUAUAUAAAUAAUUAAUAGUAAUAAAAAUAAUAAUGAAAAUAGUAAUGAUAAUAAUAAUAUAUAAUAGUAAUGAUAAUAGCAAUAAUAUAUAAUAGCAAGAAUAAUAAUAAUGAUAAUAUAUUAGCGAUCCAAUGUUGAAAAGCAUGUAAAGAUAUCAAAUAGUGAACAAAAACAAAAUAAUAAUAAUGGAAGUAAUGCGAUAAGUAAAUAAAAUAUUUAAUAAACACAAAAAAAAAUUGAAAGUAAUUGGAGUUGUAAAAGGCUUGGGAUUUAAUCAUAAUCAAAACAAAAUAUGGGGUGCAAAUCAUAAAAUGCAAAGAAAUAACAAAUCAUGAACUGGGACCAAAGUAGACGCGCGUGCAAAGGGGAAGGACUGAUAGGGAAAAUAUCCCAAGCCCACAAAACGCAGCGUUCAGGCGUGGAUUAAAAUGAGUUUAUGCGCGACAUCCAGGGGCAAUUUUAAAAAACAAAUAAGAUUCAAAUAGGGCCAAAUUAAAUCUGGUGCAAAUCGGAAGGACUGGGCGCGAAAUUACCCAUUUAAGGUAAAAAUGCGCAGACCCAGCCUAUGAAUCGGGUCAACACGCGGGCUUCCUUCCCCUCCCCCCCAAAUGUUGCUGUUUCAAAAUUUAAGAAAAACCUUUAUUUUAUAUUUUUUUAAAACAUUAAAGAAGCUUUUAGGAAACCCUAAAAGUUUUAUAUUAUUUUCUCCAUUCCCUCACUCUCCUUGUUUCCGAGCCGAAAGGCUAGUGUCCAGGCCUUCAACCACCCGCUUGUAAUCUGUGAAGCAAGGUCCUCCAGCGGUGCGAGCACAACGCGCGGUAAGCCUCUUUUCCUUUCUCCGAUCCUUCGUAUGUGCUGUGGACCCAAAUGGAAAAAAGAAAAAAAAGGAAAAAUAGAACAAAAUUGCAGCAAAUAAUCACCUUAGAAAUAUUCUUGGUCGCUUUUCUACUGAUUUUCGUGUGUAUUUUGUAUUAUAUUUCGUAUUCUAUUUCUCUGAAAAAAAAAAUCCCCUUUUUACAUUGUUUUCGAAGGCUUUUAUAGCCCUUUUUUACAACUUGUUUUUUUGCUUGUUUGCAAGUGCGUGAUCGAGCACGUUUCUGACGUGGCGUGGUGGUGUCACGCACGUCGCGGGGAGGUGGUGUCCGGCGCGCGAUGCAUUUGCUGAAACGGCACAAAAAGGGUUUGGGGGCUAGGGUUUCAAAUUUGCCAAAAUUGUUUUAAGAUUAUGGGCCAAUUGGGCCGUAGGUUUUAGUUUGGGUCUGGGUCUUUUUUUGUUGGGUUUUGGGCUGCUUGGGUAGUGUUUUUUUAUUUUUUGCUUGUGUUUGGUUUUGGUUUUUUAAUAGUUUGGGCCGGGCAAGGUUGGGCCAUGACACAUACUAAAGUAAGGAAUGUCACAUUAAAAUUUCCAAUUUCAAUCUCUAAGUCUUGCUCAGUGCCACUACCAGAGAACUUAAACAUAAACUUUAAGUUAAUUGAUGUACAUGACAUUUUCUAAAUCCAAAAUCAUAUAUCAAAAGAGUCUUGAAAUUUUGAGAGUUGAUGUUAUCCUCGUGAAGAAGUACUCUUUAUAUCUUCUAUCUACUUUUUUUCACCUAUGCAUUAAGUUACGUGAAUAGUUUAGUAAGUACCUAAUUGAAUUUAAAAACUUACCAUCCAUUUAUUCAAACAUAAUUAUAAUAUUAAAAUUAAAUCAAAUUUACAAGUUAUUUAUACUAUCUAUAAAUUAAUUAACUCAUGCAUUUUCACUAAAUAAUAUACAAAUUAUCAAAAUAAAUUCAUUAUUCAUUUCUAUCAUUUAAUCAUAUAGUUACCUUCAUGUUCACAUAUAUUACAUGAAUAAUUAACUGAUUGUGAUCAUAAUCAGAAUUUCGAUAACAGAACUCCUAGAGUCCUAGUCCAAAACAGAACUCCUAACCUUUAAUAGAACUAUGAUAACAAACCUCAAAAUUCCAACCAACAAACCAUAUUCCAAAGAACAUAAGCAUAAAUAGAACAUGAACAAAACUCCUUCAACCCACCAUUAUCCCUGUUUCACCAACCCUAUUCUCGAUUUCAAACCAAAUUAACCAAUAAUCGAAAUUUUAAAAAAUCAUUAACUGACAUCCGAUUGAAUUAAGUUCAGCCUUUGACCGAUUAACCAAAUUAGAUCAGUUCAGUCGAUUAAUUCAAUUUAACCAAAAUUUGAACACCUCUAGUGCUUGUGUCUGGCAUCAUUCUCUCAAUGAAAUCAUAUCCCACGAUACGGUGUAAGUAAACUUUUCCAUUUGCAUAAUUAUCAUCAACCUUAUAACAUUUGGAUUCACAGUCUAAAUUGUUUAUAGAUUUAAUUACAAAAACUUAUAUAAACUCAAUUUAAAGAAAGACUUACACUAGAUUAUAUCCCUUUUUUAUAAUACAUAAAUUAAAUAAAAAUAAUGUUAAAUUUAUAAUAUAUAACUUUUAUAAGGAAGGAUUUAUAAAUUACCCA
rnacentral:lncRNA from 1 species